rnacentral:lncRNA from 1 species
ACACACACACACACACCUUGGGCAGUGCUAGGCAAAUUGAAAGACUACCAUUGGUUUUUGUGAAGGAGGAAUGACAGGAAGUGACAUGGAAAAAGAAGCAUAAAAGAAGAGACCUUCAUGAUCUAGCAGUCAUUCCCUUCCUGACAUUUGAAGAGAUUGGUUCUGGAAAUUCCUUUCCUGACUUGAAGUAGACUUUUUCCCUGGAUCCUGAAUUGGCUUGCUGGGUGAUCCUGAAACAGGCAUUUCUAGUCUUGGGGCAUCAACCUUAUGAGUUUGAGAAGUCAGGAGUGAUUGGAUCUGGAUGCUGGUUACCCAGAAAGAGAUGGCUUCUCCAAGGAAAGAAGAUGACAAGCCCUGGAAAUAUGUUACCAAUCAAAUGGCCUCCAUGCCAAAAGAUGUGGACCUCAGUUGCUCAAAAAAAAAUAUACUAAGGGAAGUGACAUUCACUGAAAAAUUUGGACAAACUUUUUUAAAAGGAGAAACCAGUGUGCAAACGUCACAGAGCCUUGUUACUUGAGGCAUCGGAGAAGAAAACUGCAGGAAAUGGUAAAUUCAGGACAUAAAGGGCAUCCUUUGCCUGCCUUAUUAUCUCAUUUUUCAGUGGAGCUGACGGGACAGCUGCCUGUUAUUAUGGGGCACACCAGGAAAUGUUUAACUGCCAAAUAGUAAAGAGCCAGGGAGGGAUUAGCAACCCUGUUCAUGCCACACAAAUAGAAUUCUUGCACCUGGUAGUCAUGCAGUUAGAUUUAUCGUCUUUGUAGGGUAUGUUACUUAAAUCCCAUUUACAAAGAAACAAAAACAAAAAAAAGUGCCUUAAUGUCAUUGUGAUUAUGAUAAGUAUGAGUAACAGUUUUACAGUUUUUAGUCUAGAUUAAAUUAAUUGGUGGUGGUUUUCAUUUAAUUGCACUAAUCUUUUAUUUGGUUUAUAUAAUGUGGUAAAUUUAGUAUUCCGUGUUGCGAAUGUAAAGUGUUUUUAAAAAUGACAGAUCCAUAACAGUUUAAUCCUGCA